UGAACCUGGGAGGCGGAGGUUGCAGUGAGCCAAGAUCGCGCGAUUGCACUCCAGCCUGGGCAACAAGAGUGAAACUAUGUCUCAUUUUUAAAAUCCUAGCUUUUUCUUUUUUUGAGACAGAGUCUCUGUUGCUUAGGCUGGAGUGCAGUGGUGCAAUCUUGGCUCACUGCAACCUCCGCCUCCCAGGUUCA
rnacentral:pre_miRNA from 1 species